UAUAGGCACGUGCCACCACAACUGGCUUAAAUGUGUCAUUUAAAAAUUCAGGCCAGGCACAGUGGCUCACGCCUGUA
ensembl:miRNA